rnacentral:lncRNA from 1 species
GUGGGGAAAAAUGAACAUUUAUAAAGCACUAUUGCUGAAAAUUGCAUUUACAGCAGGUCUUUAGAAGGAAACUUGCUUUUCCAGUAUGAGGAAAAAAUGAGCUCAAAUUAAAUACUAUGGGUCUCUAAUUUUCACUAUUUUAUUUAAACUGCAGUUUAUAUCUUAUCGAAAUUAUGUUGCCGGUUCUGAACAUGUUUCAAAAAACAAAAAAUGCAAAAAUUCUUCUAG